rnacentral:rRNA from 1 species
UACGGAGGAUGCAAGCGUUAUCCGGAAUGAUUGGGCGUAAAGCGUCCGCAGGCGGCAGUUCAAGUCUGCUGUCAAAGACCGGGGCUUAACUUCGGAAAGGCAGUGGAAACUGAACAGCUAGAGUAUGGUAGGGGCAGAGGGAAUUCCUGGUGUAGCGGUGAAAUGCGUAGAUAUCAGGAAGAACACCGGUGGCGAAGGCGCUCUGCUGGACCAUAACUGACACUCAGGGACGAAAGCUAGGGGAGCGAAUGGG